AGAGUUUGAUCCUGGCUCAGAUUGAACGCUGGCGGCAUGCCUUACACAUGCAAGUCGAACGGCAGCAUGAUCUAGCUUGCUAGAUUGAUGGCGAGUGGCGAACGGGUGAGUAAUACAUCGGAACGUGCCCUGUAGUGGGGGAUAACUAGUCGAAAGAUUAGCUAAUACCGCAUACGACCUGAGGGUGAAAGUGGGGGACCGCAAGGCCUCAUGCUAUAGGAGCGGCCGAUGUCUGAUUAGCUAGUUGGUGAGGUAAAGGCUCACCAAGGCGACGAUCAGUAGCUGGUCUGAGAGGACGAUCAGCCACACUGGGACUGAGACACGGCCCAGACUCCUACGGGAGGCAGCAGUGGGGAAUUUUGGACAAUGGGGGCAACCCUGAUCCAGCAAUGCCGCGUGUGUGAAGAAGGCCUUCGGGUUGUAAAGCACUUUUGUCCGGAAAGAAAUCGCACUUACUAAUAUUAGGUGUGGAUGACGGUACCGGAAGAAUAAGGACCGGCUAACUACGUGCCAGCAGCCGCGGUAAUACGUAGGGUCCAAGCGUUAAUCGGAAUUACUGGGCGUAAAGCGUGCGCAGGCGGUUGUGCAAGACCGAUGUGAAAUCCCCGGGCUUAACCUGGGAAUUGCAUUGGUGACUGCACGGCUAGAGUGUGUCAGAGGGGGGUAGAAUUCCACGUGUAGCAGUGAAAUGCGUAGAGAUGUGGAGGAAUACCGAUGGCGAAGGCAGCCCCCUGGGAUAACACUGACGCUCAUGCACGAAAGCGUGGGGAGCAAACAGGAUUAGAUACCCUGGUAGUC
rnacentral:rRNA from 1 species